rnacentral:rRNA from 1 species
UCCUAAGGUAGCGAAAUUCCUUGUCGGGUAAGUUCCGACCCGCACGAAAGGUGUAACGAUUUGGGCACUGUCUCAACGAGGGACCCGGUGAAAUUGAAAUACCUGUGAAGAUGCAGGUUACCCGCGACUGGACAGAAAGACCCCAUGGAGCUUUACUGUAACCUGACAUUGGGUUUUGAUACAUUACGUACAGGAUAGGUGGGAGGCUUGGAAAGCUGGACGCUAGUCUGGCUGGAGCCGACGUUGGGAUACCACCCUUGAUGUAUUGAAAUUCUAACCGCGAGAGUAACGAAAUCCGGGACAGUGUCAGGCGGGCAGUUUGACUGGGGCGGUCGCCUCCGAAAGAGUAACGGAGGCGCCCAAAGGUUCCCUCAGCGCGGCCGGAAAUCGCGCGAAGAGUGUAAAGGCAGAAGGGAGCUUGACUGCGAGUCAAACACGACGAGCAGGUACGAAAGUAGGGCUUAGUGAUCCGGUGGUACCGAGUGGAAGGGCCAUCGCUCAACGGAUAAAAGCUACCCUGGGGAUAACAGGCUAAUCUCUCCCAAGAGUCCAUAUCGACGGGGAGGUUUGGCACCUCGAUGUCGGCUCAUCACAUCCUGGGGCUGAAGUCGGUCCCAAGGGUUGGGCUGUUCGCCCAUUAAAGUGGUACGUGAGCUGGGUUCAGAACGUCGUGAGACAGUUCGGUCCCUAUCCAUCGCGGGCGCAAGAGAUUUGAAGGGGGCUGCUCCUAGUACGAGAGGACCGGAGUGGACGAACCGCUGGUGUACCAAUUAUCCCGCCAGGGGUACAGUUGGGUAGCUACGUUCGGAAAGGAUAAACGCUGAAAGCAUCUAAGCGUGAAACCAGCCUUAAGAUGAGAUCUCUCAUAGAGCAAUCUAGUAAGACACCUUAAAGAAGAUGAGGUUGAUAGGUCGGGAGUGUAAGUACAGCAAUGUAUUGAGCGGACCGAUACUAAUAUGUCGAGGGCUUGACUUA